UUAACUACUCUACCAAACACUUCAUCCUACUCGAUGAAGCUUUAGGCACCUCAUAAUAGCCAAGUCUAUAUCACACAUAACACCACAAAUAAAAUAGCAGAAGAUAGAAUUUGUGAUGACACCUUUUUCCUACAUCCACGGAAACACUUAAACAAUGUUCACUUAGAUCAAUAAAGAUUACAAGUUUUGUGGAAACAUGAAAAGCACUCACCUAGAAGUGUAUCUCCCUACAAACUCAGGAAUCCCAUUUAAGAUUUAAACCGAAUGGUAAAACACGCUCACAAGAGACAUUUUGACUACUACAAGUGACUACCCACAUUAGUUCAUUUCUCUCUGACUUGAGUGCCUCAACACUUCACAGGACUUAAUAGUUAAUGCAUAUUGGUUACUUUUCACCUUUCAAGGGUAUUGAAAUGUCAUUUCCUUCUUGCAAAAGAGACUCGGUUCUUCCAUAAGUUGAAAUAUAACUUCCACUACAUGUUAAUGAAUGCAUUUCCAAUAUGGUAUUGUUACCAAAAUUAUGUCUUUCUCAGUAAUAGGUCUAAAGCGUUUGUUGCUUUUUGUGUUGCAGAUUCUGGAAAAGCUAUAUGAUACUGAUGAUAUUGUUAUUGCUUACGAACUGGUGAAGCUUUCUUCCAUCCUACUUUCCUUGGAUGAUUCUACUGCUGCGGAAAGCAUAAAUCGAAUUGAUGAUAUCUUCUCACGUUAUUAUGGACUUCAUGCAGACUUGGUGUUCCCUGAUCUUCAAUAUCUCAGGAAAGAAAUUGAGAAAUUUUCAGUGAAGGCCAUCCAAUAAAAUGAUUUUACGACAAAAUGAGCUAUAGAAUGUCAGGUAUAAUUGUCAAUCACAGCUUAAAUGACUUUUCAUAUAAUAUGAAAGAUAUACAAUAGUCAACGACCUCAAGAAGAUUACUCAAAGCUCAUCCAAGCUGUUUGAUAGUCUAGGCAUAUUCUGCAUAAAUAUGAACGAGACUUUGAACUAAGGUCAGUCAAGUUUGUUCUCUAACUACUCUCUCUUUCCGAACAUGUGCUUUAUUAAUAUAGAUUCAUCCAAAUUUAUAGGGGUGGAGAUAUAUUUUAAAGAUUGUCUUGAGAUCUCAGUGGAUGAAACCUCAAUUAGUUACAUGGGUAUCAACAAUUACUUUUCAAGUUAUAGCUUUAGUUCCCAAAGAAAAUUGUUUCUUGCAGUAAGUUAUACCUUCUACUGCUAAAAUCAAAUCAAGGAAUUUAUUUCUUUCUUAAUUAAUGGUUUCAAGGAAAUGGGGAGCAGUAAACAUAGGAGAUUGUGUAAUUUGUAUGAUUAUAUUUUAUGCGCUGAAUUUAAGAGGAUAUGGUGCAAAGCUAUAGGUGUGAAAAGUUGUAGGAAUGGUUACUUGACAGAUUGUGCAGCUUAGCAAUGAACUUCUUCUACUCCGUCUUCUAACCGGUUUUGAUAUGCUCUCUUAGAAGUUAGACAUGUAUUAUAUGCUCUCAUACCAAGUACAAUUAUUAAUGACUUCCAGAAGACUGCAUUUAGUAUUAGCACUAGAGGCUAACACUUGUCUGAUCUACUAGCAUGUUAGGCUAUUGGGUGUCUUCUUACUCUGAUACCUAUUGACAAACCUAGAUUACCAACAAAGUUUCUGAAAACCUCCAUGAGAUGAGUCUUCUCUCAAACUCACUUAGUUAAUAUAAACAUUCAUUGACUCCUUACUACUUUACCUUCAUUUUGUGAUUAGGGUUAUCAAUAUAGUUUGAAAUCUCACUAUGCCUAAAUGCUUAUACCAUAUUACUAAACAUAGUUUUACCUGCAUGGUAAUAGCCAAAAAUCACCCACCUAUGAUUCCUUAAAGUUCUCUUUCUCAUAGAUCAUACUUCAUACAUAAAUACCACACCUAAUAUCAAACAUCACAAUUUAUCUUGACAUAUACUCAAUUUUCAUAAUUCAUAAUAUUUCAUUUAGACAACAUUUAAUUCUCACUCUUCAUAAAGUAUUGCCACCAAACGCCAGCCACAUGUAACAAUCUAAAGCAGUCCCAUACUCUAUAAUACCAAGAAAUCAAGAAAAAAAGUAAAUAUCUCUUAUAUAGGGGUGAUCGCUUAAGUGUCAUCCCUUCACAAAAGAGAGAAUUGUCUCGACCUCUUGCUCAAAUGUCCCAGUGUCACUAUAUUGUCACUUAGCAUCAUCAGAAUGUUUGAGUGACUAGAAUCUUAGAUGAGAGAGAAUUGUUAUGGUGUUUCUCUUGUCGCUUGAGUGGCCAAAACUCCAGAGAAGAGAAUUGUUCUAGGCUCUCUCUCUAGCUCAAACUACCAUCCGUAGCUUGAGCGAUAAAGCUCCUCAGUUGAGCAACAUAUGGUUUCUUGAGCGAGGUAAACAAAGUUCACAAAAUGAAGUCUUUUAUUCUAAUUGAACUAAAACAAGUUAUUUCAUUCUAAAACCAUUUCUCCUCUGUAUAUUAUGCAAACUACACUUGUUUUAUUUCAAUUAGAUUCAAAGGACAAAUGUUGUCAAACUCGAGGAUGUGAAAGGGGAUAAAAAAUUAUAACUCAACUCAUAAGUUGAGUUAUGAAUGUACGAAAAAUUAUAUUCAUAAACCUGCAUGCAUUAAAAAAAUAUAGAUGAUAAAAAUAGCUCAUAGCGAGUCUUAAAUAGGUCCUCUUGUUCUCUAUAGAAUUUGAAGGAAAAACGGAGUAAGCAUAAUUGCAGCACCAAGAGAGAGUAGAACUCUAAAAUGAUUGGAACAGAGAGCGAGCAUCAACCAAUGUGAAGGCAACACUAGUGACGAUGCGUGAGUGUUGUGAUGUCAACAACAAUGAAGCUAGUGGCAACAGGAGCUUCGUAAGUGCUAUGAUGGUUGUUGGCGACUCUAGUGAUGGUUGUUUGACAGCAGCGACCACAGCGUCAGCAUCAAGAGGUGCAUGCACUGUUUUGUGACCCCUUAAUUUGGCGUGUGCCAUCAUCAAACCCUAGCUUCUCAAGAUGAGAAGGAUCAAUACUACACAGGAUCCCUCGAUUCAGUGAGCAACAUCGCAACCUCACAGCGAUCUGCACCUCCCUCGAUCGGACAUCUGCUUCACCUUGCGAUCUCCUCAAUAUUCGUGGGAUCGAGGGAGUUUGCAAGUUAACUCAAGAUUUUGACAACACUGCAAAAGAAAGCAACGGGUUAAACAACAUAAUACUCAAGUACUAACUUAAGUAUUUAUUCAAAUCAAUAUUAAAAGAAUUUUAUUCAAACUAAUGCAUUUCACAACUUCAAAGGCACUUAAUCACAUACACCUGUUACAGUAGAGUAUUACCGUAAAAAUCCUUGCCAACAAUCUCUUCGUUAUCAAAGUCCUCAAUACUAAAAAUAAGUGAUCCAAUGAAUCAAAUCUCUAUUCAACAACCAUAACUACAAUUUAAUCCACAAGUAUCCUAAGGUUUGGUCUCAUCAAAGUUCUAUUUCUGACAGUACCAAAUAUUUCCAAAACAGUGAAUCAAGUCAACUUCUCUUAUCUUAACUCUUGUGCUCUUCAAGGAUUUGUUCCAAAGACUCAAAAAAACUAGGGAAGCCUUAACUUGCUCCUAAGAGACCUGAUUCACAAACUAAACAUAUCACUACCUACCUAGACUAGCAAAUAUUGAUCUUUUUGACUCAUAUCUUACAUGCAAUCACAAAGGCCUAUCCAUGCAUGCAACAAGAAAACAAGAAUCAAAGAUCUAAGGGGAAAAGAAAAACUUACUCAAAACUUGUGAUUAGAUGAAUUAGGACAAGCAGACCUUGUUUGUGUUGAACAAGGGCUGCUGGUUCAUUUUUAUGAACAACCAUGGCUGAAACUUCUUUUGUUUCACGUGUUGUGCCUAGUAAGGGUGGACAAAAAAUCCAAAUUACAAAAUCCAAUCCAUAAUUAUCCAAAUCCAUAUUAUUUUUAAUCCAUUUAAAUGGAUUUAUCUCAAAUCCAAAUCCAUAUUUUUGGAUUUUAAAUCCAAUCCAUUUAAUUGGAUAUGGAUUAGAUAUAGAUUAGAUACAUUUUUGGAUUAUCCAAAUUGCAUUUUGGGUUGGAUCCCAAGUUGAGCAAAGUCGGCCUAAGUCCACAUUAA
rnacentral:lncRNA from 1 species